AAUUCAUUGAACGUGAGCUUCUAUUAUGUGAAAACAUUAUUAUUAGAUAACGAAGAAAAUUGAUGAGCUCCUAUUACAGGAACCGCGAUUUUAUAAACUGUCUCACUACGACCACUUACUUAGCUUCAUAGUUAGGUACAGUAAUUCAACUGUAAUGUAAUAUUUAUGUAGACUGAUAUAAAUUAAUAUUCAUGUUAAAUCGUCUUAAAUGAUAUUUCAUAUGCAGAAGCGAAGCUAUUUAGUACAAUAAGUAUCGAGGAAACGAGGCAAAAACUGAGACCCUGGUAGACUUGCUGAGGAGCCAUUGGAAGGGAAAGUGUGUACAAGGAGGUUUGAAGAGCAGGGGAACGCAGGAGAACUCGGAUGAAAGGGUGUGCUGUGGCCUAAUGCGAGCGAACAAACCAUUAAACUACACUCAGCCGCAGAACACUGUGAUGCUGCAAAAUUGAUUUUUAAAUAGCAACGAGCAAUGAUUUCUGAAAAGCUCUUAAUUCUUCUAGUUCCUAAGGUAUGAAUCAGUGUUAAAAAUAAAUUUACAGAGAAGUAUACAGAAAAUA